rnacentral:rRNA from 1 species
UACAGAGGGGGCAAGCGUUGUUCGGAAUUACUGGGCGUAAAGGGCGCGUAGGCGGCCUUCUAAGUCGAACGUGAAAUCCCCGGGCUCAACCCGGGAACUGCGUCCGAUACUGGAAGGCUUGAAUCCGGGAGAGGGAUGCGGAAUUCCAGGUGUAGCGGUGAAAUGCGUAGAUAUCUGGAGGAACACCGGUGGCGAAGGCGGCAUCCUGGACCGGUAUUGACGCUGAGUGAGCGAAAGCGUGGGGAGCAAACAGG